GACGAACGCUGGCGGCGUGCUUAACACAUGCAAGUCGAACGGAAAGGCCCUGCUUUUGUGGGGUGCUCGAGUGGCGAACGGGUGAGUAACACGUGAGUAACCUGCCCUUGACUUUGGGAUAACUUCAGGAAACUGGGGCUAAUACCGGAUAGGAGCUCCUGCUGCAUGGUGGGGGUUGGAAAGUUCCGGCGGUUGGGGAUGGACUCGCGGCUUAUCAGCUUGUUGGUGGGGUAGUGGCUUACCAAGGCUUUGACGGGUAGCCGGCCUGAGAGGGUGACCGGCCACAUUGGGACUGAGAUACGGCCCAGACUCCCACGGGAGGCAGCAGUGGGGAAUAUUGCACAAUGGGCGGAAGCCUGAUGCAGCAACGCCGCGUGCGGGACGACGGCCUUCGGGUUGUAAACCGCUUUCGCCUGUGACGAAGCGUGAGUGACGGUAAUGGGUAAAGAAGCACCGGCUAACUACGUGCCAGCAGCCGCGGUGAUACGUAGGGUGCGAGCGUUGUCCGGAUUUAUUGGGCGUAAAGGGCUCGUAGGUGGUUGAUCGCGUCGGAAGUGUAAUCUUGGGGCUUAACCCUGAGCGUGCUUUCGAUACGGGUUGACUUGAGGAAGGUAGGGGAGAAUGGAAUUCCUGGUGGAGCGGUGGAAUGCGCAGAUAUCAGGAGGAACACCAGUGGCGAAGGCGGUCCUCUGGGCCUUUCCUGACGCUGAGGAGCGAAAGCGUGGGGAGCGAACAGGCUUAGAUACCCUGGUAGUCCACGCUGUAAACGGUGGGUACUAGGUGUGGGGUCCAUUCCACGGGUUCCGUGCCGUAGCUAACGCUUUAAGUACCCCGCCUGGGGAGUACGGCCGCAAGGCUAAAACUCAAAGGAAUUGACGGGGCCCCGCACAAGCGGCGGAGCAUGCGGAUUAAUUCGAUGCAACGCGUAGAACCUUACCUGGGUUUGACAUGGAUCGGGAGUGCUCAGAGAUGGGUGUGCCUCUUUUGGGGUCGGUUCACAGGUGGUGCAUGCCUGUCGUCAGCUCGUGUCGUGAGAUGUUGGGUUAAGUCCCGCAACGAGCGCAACCCUUGUUCACUGUUGCCAGCACGUUAUGGUGGGGACUCAGUGGAGACCGCCGGGGUCAACUCGGAGGAAGGUGGGGAUGACGUCAAGUCCUCAUGCCCCUUAUGUCCAGGGCUUCACGCAUGCUACAAUGGCUGGUACAGAGAGUGGCGAGCCUGUGAGGGUGAGCGAAUCUCGGAAAGCCGGUCUCAGUUCGGAUUGGGGUCUGCAACUCGACCUCAUGAAGUCGGAGUCGCUAGUAAUCGCAGAUCAGCAACGCUGCGGUGAAUACGUUCCCGGG
rnacentral:rRNA from 1 species